rnacentral:snRNA from 1 species
AAUCCGCUAAGGAGUGUGUA